rnacentral:rRNA from 1 species
CAGUCGCCGCGGGAAUACAGAGGGUGCGAGCGUUAAUCGGAUUUACUGGGCGUAAAGCGUGCGUAGGCGGCUUUUUAAGUAGGAUGUGAAAUCCCUGAGCUUAACUUAGGAAUUGCAUUCGAUACUGGGAAGCUAGAGUAUGGGAGAGGAUGGUAGAAUUCCAGGUGUAGCGGUGAAAUGCGUAGAGAUCUGGAGGAAUACCGAUGGCGAAGGCAGCCAUCUGGCCUAAUACUGACGCUGAGGUACGAAAGCAUGGGGAGCAAACAGGAUUAGAUACCCCAGUAGUCCCUGUCUCUUAUAC